UACAUACUCCCUGCGUUCGGAAUUACUCGUCCAAGAAAUGAAUGUAUCUAGAUGUAUUUUAGUUGUAGAUACAUCCAUUUUUGUGACAAGUAAUUCCGAACGGAGGGAGUACUAC
rfam:Triticum urartu cultivar G1812 contig109062, whole genome shotgun sequence.